rnacentral:piRNA from 1 species
UNCCUACCUAGGCUAUAUGGUCCAGCCUGU